GACAAGGGUUAAGAAGCUUGCUGUAAAUCCUGCAUCUGAAUCUGCUUUAUUUGACCUCAAGGAGGGAAGUGCUUAUGUCUAUCAACCCCACCUUAAGUAAGACACAUGAUCUCUGGGAUCCUCCUUCUGCCUCGCUUAUAUUUUGAGAUCUCUAUAGGCAAUUUUUGACAUAUCUUGUUAGAUCUUCUGAGAAAUCUCUGUACCAUGAGACUGGACUACAUGCAGCUGUGGGAAAAAUUCUCCUACAUUUGUCUCUUUCUUGUUAUGAACCAAGGGAAUGUGCACUGGCUACCUUUCUAUUCUAAGGCCCUGGAGCUGGGGGUCCGUUUUCUCAAGAAGCGUUAAAAGCUUCCUCGGAAGGUCAUUUAGUGUAUUGACAGCAUCACGUGUGUUAAGUAUCGUGCUUAGCACACUGGCAGCAUCUGACAGAAGGUUGUUCUUCUUGUGGUAAUGGUAUGUAAAGUCUGAGACCGGGAAAGGGUGGUGCUGGGUGCUAGGCUCGGGAAAGCAGUUAUAUCAAUUUGUC
rnacentral:lncRNA from 1 species